UACGUAGGGUGCGAGCGUUGUCCGGAAUUAUUGGGCGUAAAGAGCUCGUAGGCGGUUUGUCGCGUCUGCUGUGAAAGCCCGGGGCUCAACCCCGGGUCUGCAGUGGGUACGGGCAGGCUGGAGUGCAGUAGGGGAGACUGGAAUUCCUGGUGUAGCGGUGGAAUGCGCAGAUAUCAGGAGGAACACCGAUGGCGAAGGCAGGUCUCUGGGCCUCUACUGACGCUGAGAAGCGAAAGCAUGGGGAGCGAACAGG
rnacentral:rRNA from 1 species